AUAAAGUUUUAUUCUAGCUUAGAAUUUGACUAGUAAAUUUUAGUAUAUGUAAAUUUUAUUUUUAAUAGUUAAUUGCAGUAUUUAAUAUUAUUUAUCAGAGUAAUCUGGAAUUAGAAAUUAGAUUUAAUAUGAACAUAGUUUGUGCCAGCAGUUGCGGUUAUACAAACCAUGUGGGUCAAAUUUAUUAGGAUUAGUUAAAUGUGAUUAUUAAGAAAAUAUGGAAGAUUUAUUGGGUGGAAUUUUAAAUUUUUUUAUAUUCUUAUUGUUAGGUUUUGAGGCUAGGAAUUUUAAAAUUAAACUAGGAUUAGAUACCCUAUUAUUAUAAAGGUGGUUUUUGUCUUAAAUUAGUAUUAGUUUACGGUCUUCAAAGUUAAAGAUUUUGGCGGUAUUUUAGUCAUUUCAGAGGAACCUGUUAUGUAAAUGAUAAUCCACGAUUUAAUUUACUUUUAUUAUUAGUUUACAUAUCGUCGUAGUUAGAAUAUUUUAUAAGAAUUAGAAUGUUCAAAUGUUUAUAUAAAAAGUGAAUUCAGAUCAAGGUGUAGUUUAUAUGAAAGAAAUAAUGGGUUACAUUAUUUAUAUUUGUGAAUAGUAAGUUUUAAAUUUAUUUGAGAUUGGAUUUGAAGGUAAUUUCUUAAUGAUAUUGGAAAUGAUUAUGCUCUAAAAUAUGCACAUAUCGCCCGUCGCUUUCGUAUAAAAUGAAAUAAGUCGUAACAAAGUAGGCUUAUUGGAAAAUGAGCCUGGAAUGCA
rnacentral:ncRNA from 1 species